rnacentral:misc_RNA from 1 species
GAUGAAGAACGUAGUGAAAUGCGAUAAGUAGUGUGAAUUGCAGAAUUCAGUGAAUCAUCGAAUCUUUGAACGCACAUUGCGCCCCUUGGUAUUCCAUGGGGCAUGCCUGUUCGAGCGUCAUUUGUACCUUCAAGCUUUGCUUGGUGUUGGGUGUUUGUCUCGCCUUUGCGUGUAGACUCGCCUUAAAAUAAUUGGCAGCCGGCGUAUUGAUUUCAGAGCGCAGUACAUCUCGCGCUUUGCACUCAUAACGACAGCGUCCAAAAGUACAUUUUACACUCUUGACCUCGGAUCAGGUAGGGAUACCCGCUGAACUUAAGCAUAUCAAUAAGCGGAGGA